rnacentral:rRNA from 1 species
GAUGAACGCUAGCUAUAGGCUUAACACAUGCGAGUCGAGGGGAAACGGCAUGAGAUGCUUGCAUCUUAUGGACGUCGACCGGCGUACGGGUGAGUAACGCGUAUCCAACCUGCCCGCGAGUAGGGGAUAACCCGCAGAAAUGCGGACUAAUACCCUAUAUAGUCCAAAGGUAGCCACUACCAGAUUUGGACGAAAGAUUUAUCGCUCGCGGAUGGGGAUGCGUCUGAUUAGCUUGUUGGCGGGGUAACGGCCCACCAAGGCAUCGAUCAGUAGGGGUUCUGAGAGGAAGGUCCCCCACAUAGGAACUGAGACACGGUCCUA